CGCGAGCUGCCUUUUUAUACGGCAGCUGUGGAGCCCUCCCUCUAGCGCAGCUCUGGCAUGGAAAUGCAUGGAGAUGAAGAUGCUCGUGCCUCCCUAUCUGACAAGGGGAGGACUGAGAGGGAGGAGACCUUGUUUAAUUUGAAGCUCAGAGGUUCUCUGCACAUGGAGGAGUGAAUGCCGAGUUUACCCACUCCAUGCACCACAGAUGGAUAUGCGACGGUGAAAACACUGAUAUGGCGCCCUGACCGCGGCACAUCUCCACAUACCCCCACCACCCGAAUUAGGCUGUGGAGCUGUCCAACCACCAGCCGACUCCCUCCCCCCGGCUCCGAGUGGGAGAUGAAGUCAGCCACCACCAUCCAAGCCCCCCGCCUAUGGAUCACCUAGAACUUACGUGGCUGUAGUGAUGUACAGCUGUGGCUGUAACGAGUGAUCUGCAUGUUGGCAUCUUUCAUGCGGUGGAGCCGCUGAAGGGGAGCAUGGUCUGAACAGAGGGAGAAAGGGUAUCCCAGAAAACAACAGCGGAGAGCGUCGACUGCCCACUUGAUCAUCAGACACUCCUUCUCCUCUGUGCCGUACUUCGCCUCCUACUAUGACAGCUUCUGGCUAAUUGAUAGCAUGGGGCAGUCCAUCCUCAACGCUCAACCUCCUGGGACAAAACAACCCCCAGUCCACUAUUCGAUGCAUCUGUCUGCAAACAAAAAGGGAAAGCAAAGUAGGUGUAUAAAGGAGCAUUUCACUACAGAGAUCAUGUUUUACCCUCUCAAAUAGCCUACUGUCACUGGAUGAGACCUAAGGCACCCUUUCAGGUCAGAUCGGUCAGGGGACUGGUCAACUCUGAGAAAGCUGGAAUGAAUUUCCUAUAGUAGCCCGCCAGUCCCAAGAACUGUCUAACCUAAUUUUUGUCUUGGGCCACAGGCAGGACUGAGAGGCUGCACUGACAGGAAACCCAGCCGUGAACACAGCAAGUUGCUUUUUGAGAUAGAUUUGCAUUUUAUGCAACAUCUUAUGCUUUAUGUUGUGCUCAUUGGGCCUCAUUCACAAAACAUGUGUACGAUG